ACAGGCUGACUGGGAAUGAACCCCUGACCAUCCUCCCUCUGACCUCAGAAAUGGAGGAGGCUGCCGUCAAGGCCCACUACAAAGUGUGCGACCGCCUGAAGCUGGAGAAGAAACAGCGCAGGAUGUGCCGGCGGGAUCCCGGCGUGGCAGAGACCCUUGUGGAGGCCAUCAGCAUGAGCGCCUUGGAGUGCCAGUACCAGUUCCGCUUCGAGCGGUGGAACUGCACCCUCGAGGGGCGCUACAGAGCCAGCCUGCUGAAGAGAGGUUUUAAGAAAACAGCCUUUCUUUAUGCCAUUUCCUCAGCCGGGCUUACGCACGCCAUGGCGAAGGCCUGCAGCGCCGGGCGCAUGGAACGCUGCACCUGCGACGAGGCCCCCGACCUGGAAAACCGAGAGGCCUGGCAGUGGGGCGGCUGUGGGGAUAAUCUCAAGUACAGCAACAAGUUUGUCAAGGAGUUCCUAGGGAAGAAAUCCAACAAGGACCUGCGAGCCAGGGUGGACUUCCACAACAAUCUUGUAGGCAUGAAGGUCAUCAAAGCUGGCGUGGAGACGACGUGUAAGUGCCACGGCGUGUCCGGCUCCUGCACCGUCCGCACGUGUUGGAGGCAGCUCUCUCCGUUCCACGAGAUCGGCAAACAGCUGAAGCAGAAGUACGAGACCUCCCUCAAAGUGGGCAGCACCACCAACGAGGCCACCGGGGAGGGGGACAUCUCGCCACCCAAGAAGUCCACCCCGGGCCACAGCGAUCAGAUUCCCCGGACUACAGAUCUCGUCUACAUCGACGAUUCGCCCAGCUUCUGUCUGAUGAGCAGGUAUUCCCCUGGGACGUCGGGGAGGAAAUGUUACAAGGACAAGAACUGCGAGAGCAUUUGCUGCGGCCGUGGGCACAACACGCAGAGCAGGGUGGUCACCCGGCCCUGCCAGUGCCAGGUUCGCUGGUGCUGCUAUGUGGAAUGCAAGCAGUGUACUCAAAGAGAAGAAGUUUAUACCUGCAAAGAUUAACGCACGCUCUGCUGCACGGAGAUCCUCUGGGACGGGAGAUGGCGAGCAGAGAGCUACGCAUGGAGACAAACAGGGUUUGACGGACGUUCUGGGAUCGGGAAGCUAUGUUGAGACAUAAGCACUUUGUAGGGUACAGGUGACCCAGCUGUGUUGCUGUUUUUUUUGGGUUCUUUUUUGUAGACUGAGUUUUAACCAUGAGGUCCAACCGUGUGGAAAUAAGUGCCUGUCGCAUUGGGGUUAGGUACCAGUAGAUCCUCACCAAAGCCAUCCACCACCCUACCCGCUUGAUAGAUCAGUCGCUUACCUUGAAAUCUUUUUGGUUUGUUUCACCAGUCCUCCACAAAACUGAAAAUCUAGAGAGCCAAACAAACGAAUGACAUAAAUGGACUUCGGAUCUCUUUGUGCUUUGAAACGUUGUGGUCACAGUAAUAUUGGUUUUCCCUAAAGAUAGGGUAAGAGCUAGGUAUGGGUUAAGCUGAGAGCAUAUCAGUUGUUCCUCAAGUGGCAUUUUGUCAGCUUUAUAGGCUAGAUCUACAGAUGGGACUAGACCUACUUUUGAGGGCAUCUUAACUCUGGCGCCACGUCUGUGUGCUCUGAGUGAGCAUAGCUUAAAUACUAGUGCCCACCUAGCUCUCCAUGUUGUAGAUGACAAAAUGGUUGGGAAGACCAUUCAAAGAUGCACCCACCUCCUUCCUCCUGACCAGACCCUGAUCUUGACAUGUUCUUUAGAGGCGGGUUCUUCAGCACUAUCACUGUCUUAACUUAAAACCACUAGAAGACCUUUCACUGGUUGGGUUUCAUUUUGGAGAGGGUUAUAUUUCAUAUUUUCACCUCCUUGUUCAGACUCGCCCUGUCGUGGCUGCUUCAAACAAACCCAAAUGAGGACUUCAGUCUUAUCUUGGCAGAAUUUGGACACUACUUUUUGUUUCAUUUUUCCCUGAUAGUGGCUCAUGACCGUGACAAUUGUAUUGCAUUUCAGAAGACCAGGCUGACUCGAUGCCUUUGUUGUACAGCAGCCAUGUGGGACUAGAAGGGGCCCUUGGAGAUUUUUAUCUUAGUCAUCAUUCCAUUUAGUCUAGAACAUGGCACAAACUAGAUGCAGACCCUCCGACCUUAAGCUUUUUUUUAACCACUAGAUUGUGAGUCCUAUUUUUAAAAGUAAGUAAUCUUGGGAUUCCAAAUGCCUAGUCCACAUGGUUCCACCCAAGGGUGGUCGAAGAAACCAAGCCAAAUGCAAUGGCAGAGCACGCCAAUGCUGUGAACUAGUUGACAACCUCCAUUGAUUUUUUUUUUUAAAAGGAUAUUUACAACAUAUUACUUGACGUGGCAACGUUCUUCGGUCAUAUAUAUCACUGCUGGGAUCAGAAGUCGCUGGUAAAUGCCGUAACGAAACUUUCUAAGGAAACACUGGAGAGUGGAGGGCGUUUUUUGUAGCAGUCUUCGAUUAUCUAGUAGUAGCGAUUGUCCUUAGUUGAUAACCCGUAUCUGGCUUUCAAGGGAAGAAGGCUGGCUAAUUCCUUUUUCCAAGGAAAAUCAGAUGGUUGCCUUGGAAGAGCACACUCUCUUUCAAGAAAGAAGAUCUUCAGAGCUUCUUCUCAUAGUAGCCACUAAUAUUUUAAGCUGUUCAUGUGCAUCUACUGGGAGGGGAUAUUUCUUACCUAAUCAACAGAACUGCAGUCCAGCCUGAGCGUGGGCAUACUUCUGGGUUGGGGGAGGGAAGUAUCUGUUCCCUUGUUUUAUGAUCCUGCAACGUGAAACAUUCUCUCUCCUUUUUUGUACACUUCUGGAGAUGGGCGCACACGUGGGGUGGAGUGGGGAAUAGUUUUGAGGCACCGCCUGUCAUUUCUGGUGACCUUGCCUGGUGUGGCAAAGAAGACUCAUUCCAUGCAAGGUGGAAGGAAGAUUGAGUGGCUUCUGCCAGAUGCACCCAUUUCAAAGUCUCUCACAAGCAGUUUACCUGGUGGGGUUUAUUUUACCGAGAUGGAUCAGAAGCAUAUUAGUCAGUGUGGCGACCUAGAUGCAUAUAAUUAUAUAUAUAUAUAUAUAUAUAAAUAUUGAAUGAACACUUAUUUAUUGCAAAGCGUUUCAGAUGGACCUUGUGGUUUCAAUGUGGUAUUAUGUCCAUUCUCAAUCUCCCUCUGAUGCAAACUCAUUGCAGGACUAUUGGUCCUAUUAGAACACUCCCCUCGCUCCACCCCAAAAAAGAGACGUAAGCCCAGAUCUAAAAUGCCCCUAAAAUGUGGAGAAUUGGAGAUUGGCUGCAUCCAGACCAUCUCUGCUAUUUAAAAAGCAGGAUGGCAGCUGGAUUUUGUGCACGUCUUUGUAACUAUGGGACCCAAUCUGUUUCCUCUCUUUUUGGUCAUCUAUGUAACCAUCUGCAUUGACCUCUGGAGCAACACCACACUUAUAUUCAUGCCAGAGGACUGCGAGGUCCCAUGUGUAGAGGGGUGGUCCUGACUCUGCAUUUAGGAGGCUGUGGCUCAUUCAUCGAAUAAGCUUACGCAUGAUAUAUAUAUAUUCAUGCAAUGUGUUUGACACUGGGGGGGGGAGAGAGUGGGUGGAGAAAUAAGGCGAACUAAAAUCACCUAGAGGCAAAGAGUGAAUGAACUACUGAGUGAGAGAGCUCUUCUGUGUAUUAUAAUUCACGCACUGAGGCCUGGAUGCUUUCUGUAAGUAUUUAAAAACAAAUUGUAUUUAUGUUAAUUUGGAUAUAUUACUUUCCUGUUGUAUAUUGUAAAUAGUAAGGUUUAUUCUCCUGUGGUUAAGCAAAACUAUAAACUACAAUAGUAGCGAGGCACAUGCAUUAAAUGUAUAGGCAGUGUAUGAAAUAUACUAACACGCUGAAACUGGGCGAAUUUGUCGUCUUGACCUAAGGAGGUAUAACAUGCCUUUUUGGUUGUGUGGUGUUUGUUUGUUUUUUUGUUUUGUUUUUUAAUGCCAGGGUUUUCCAAUAUUUGCCUUAAUUUUGGAAAAGGUAUGGGGGAAAACAUGACAUCUCUCCCUUAUGGGAAGGUCUUGUAGAGCUUAAUAUGGGUGCAAACAGUAGUGUCUCCACAGGAUUUAGUAGCUCCUAACCCUUGUCUAUAGGGUUUUUUAAUGAUCUUAUGGAAUGUAACAGACUUGUAUCCCUGCUCUAUAGGGUAGCUUAAAGAAAAACCCUAUAGGACAUGUCUGAGGCUCUAGGCAAUAGGUUCUCUAGAGGUUACUCUUAACCUUGACUUCAUCCCUAUUAAGUUCUACUUUUCCAUACUGGCUGGUUCUGCCAUUGGCAUAAGCAAUGUAACUCCAUUGCAAUGUUCAUUCUACAAGCCUGGUAGGAGGGUGGAAUUGGACACUCUGUCAUGGUGCCAUUUUACAAGGAAAGAAAAGCUCAAAGUAUUUGCCCUAAAAUAUUCUUGCAGAGAACUGAGGGGGACGGCUGGCAAGGUGGGACCUUUCUGCUUUCCCCCUCCCUGCGUUUUUUAAGGGCUGGCUCACCUUAUCCAGCGAGACUUGGAAGGUAAUGGAGAGGGUGCAACCAUUAUUUAUAACUUUAUUUUAAUUUUUUUAUAAUAAGUUAGCAGAUGGAAAAAUAUUUUUUGAGCGAUGCAUUUUGCUAUGUCAGAAAUAUACAUAUUUUUGUAAACCAGGCAAACGGGAAAAGUUUGCUUAUUUUAUUUUUUUCUAUGGAAAAUAAAUCCCACAAAUAAUUGUUGCACCCAUCUAUUUUAACCAGCUUCUAAGCUCUGCAAAGCAACUUCAUCGCUAGAUGGGGAGCCGUGCAAAACAAAUCCUACAUAUUACAGUACUGUGCGGCUUUCUUCUGACUUCAGAGGCCUUCAGGUGGCGAAGGCAGUCAUAUUUACCUCCAGGCAAAGACAGUGUUAAUCUGUUCCGUCUCUCAAACUACAACUAGAAAUCCUGAGCAGAGGUGGAAGGAAGAGGCUGUUAACAGUAAUGAUGCCCGCCUCUAAAAUCGAUCGAUCGAGCUCAGAUCUGUGUCCUAGUGGACUAUAAUAAAUUGUGGGCUCAUACCACUUUCCCUGAAACAGGAGGCUUUUGCCAGGGAUUUUUUUUCAAUCGGAGCAGGAAAAGUAGCGAUUCUGAAAGCAAUGGAGGUGGGAGAGAACUGGCUGAUUUUCCAUUCAGUAGUUGCUUUGUGAAAAUAGGCUGGUAUUCAGCCCACCUGAGGACCCUUUGGAACACUCCUUUGAAGGCGAAGGUUAGAGUUGGGGACCCGUAAAGUUAUGAAUUACCAUAAUUGGAUCUGUGGAAAGGCAAAUGACUGGGAUGAGAAGGGCUUAACAUCUGUCCUGUCCUCACAGCCUGCCAUCUCUGCUCGUUCCACAAAGGAAGUGCUGGGAAGGGCGGAGGCCUGCCAACUUCUUCCUUUGCUUGCCCCGUGUUUGCCAUGGGUAUUAGCCCUUUGCCAAGUGUAAGUUUGAGGGGAAACUUCUCAAGGGCAUUGCUUGGAAGGGGGCACCUAGAGGGCAUUCGGCCAUUUGCAAACACUCCUGGGAACAUUUCGCUAGCAUUAGCAGUAGACCUCCCAGGAGAGCCAAGGCCUUUCAGUAGCCUACCAUGCAGUGCCAUUGCUAGCUUCUCUCCCAACCUGUUCCUCUCCAACAGCUACGUAGCUAAGGCAAAAAUCCCAUUUGGCAUUAGGUGUCACCUGGGAGGUGCUGAGGACCUUCCUCUCCUAUUGACAUCAAAGUGAGGUGGAUACUCAACCCUGUGCAGGAUGGAGCCUGCAGACCUCUGUCCAUGAGGACUUCCCAUGUAGGUUACCAGAUGGGUCAUCCUCUCUGGGCAGAUGGUCACUGAACUGGUCGCUGGAUGUUGAGUGCAAAGGGGGGAGGGUUAGAACUGGAGCAGCCCCCCGUCCUCCAUUAGGGAAGAGGUCAAAUACAGAAUACCAGGACUUUGAGUCACUUCUCACCUUAGCCCUAAAGGUCAAAGCAGGCAGAAGGCAUCUGUGUGUGGAAGUUGUACUGCUCCAAAGCGUCUAAGGAAGAAUAGGCUAGAAAUGCAAACAGCACCUUAACUUGGGUGCCACUUUAGGUGAGCUCUUACUUAAAAGGGAUCAUUCUUUCUUUCUCUAGGUUUCUAUGCGGAAAACCCGAAGUCAAUGCAAUACAUGGAAAUAUAGUUCCCUAGGAUCCCCUCCCCCGUUUGUGUUCAGCUGCACCCAGGUCAAGGCUUCCUGAGACCCAAGCUUUGCAAAGUCACUUUCUUCCCAUGAGAUGCUUUUCCCGUUGCACAUGCUGCGUUGUAGGGUGAGGCUGGGCUGGCCUUCCUCCAUAACCAGAGCAUAGAAGCACUUGGUCUCUGAAGAGCUUGCGAAAUGCACUUCAGACCGCUGAAUUGUGGUCCUUAACAGUUGGGUUGCAUGCUGAAUCUACCCUAGCUUUGCCCACUCACUUGGUAAAUCAACCCAAGCUAGACUUCUCUACACAUGACCUCCCUCUCUCCCCGCCACGUUCUUCCCGUUUCGCUUCAGAACCCUGUGAGGUCUGACUGAAGUCUAGGAUUUGUUUUGUGCACUUGAGAAUGGCAUUUCCUUCUGCAUGGGAGGCGGGGGAUUGAACACGAACGUAUGAAGGAUUAGUAUUUUCUUUGGUUUUUUAAUGUCUUAUGGGAGCUUAAGUUAUUUUUUUUCUCUACCUCAUAUGUACAGCUUGUAGGUAUAAAUCUGAUUCUGAGUGACUGAGAAUGUAUUUAAGUUAUUUAACAUCUUUGUAUAACAAAAGCCAGAACAAAUGAAACAAUAAAUGUAUUUUAAAU